UACGAAGGGGGCUAGCGUUGCUCGGAAUUACUGGGCGUAAAGCGCACGUAGGCGGCUUUCUAAGUCGGGGGUGAAAUCCUGGAGCUCAACUCCAGAACUGCCUUCGAUACUGGCGAUCUUGAGUCCGGAAGAGGUGAGUGGAACUCCUAGUGUAGAGGUGGAAUUCGUAGAUAUUAGGAAGAACACCAGUGGCGAAGGCGGCUCACUGGUCCGGUACUGACGCUGAGG
rnacentral:rRNA from 1 species